AGUGAACGCUGGCGGUAGGCCUAACACAUGCAAGUCGAACGGCAGCACAGUAAGAGCUUGCUCUUACGGGUGGCGAGUGGCGGACGGGUGAGGAAUACAUCGGAAUCUACUUUUUCGUGGGGGAUAACGUAGGGAAACUUACGCUAAUACCGCAUACGACCUACGGGUGAAAGCAGGGGAUCUUCGGACCUUGCGCGAUUGAAUGAGCCGAUGUCGGAUUAGCUAGUUGGCGGGGUAAAGGCCCACCAAGGCGACGAUCCGUAGCUGGUCUGAGAGGAUGAUCAGCCACGCUGGAACUGAGACACGGUCCAGACUCCUACGGGAGGCAGCAGUGGGGAAUAUUGGACAAUGGGCGCAAGCCUGAUCCAGCCAUACCGCGUGGGUGAAGAAGGCCUUCGGGUUGUAAAGCCCUUUUGUUGGGAAAGAAAAGCAGCAGGUUAAUACCCCGCUGUCCUGACGGUACCCAAAGAAUAAGCACCGGCUAACUUCGUG
rnacentral:rRNA from 1 species